UACGUAGGGGGCAAGCGUUGUCCGGAUUUAUUGGGCGUAAAGAGCUCGUAGGCGGUUCCGUAAGUCGGGGGUGAAAAAUCUGGGCUCAACCCAGUGGAGCACCCGAUACUGCGGUGACUCGAGUCCGGUAGGGGAGUGUGGAAUUCCUGGUGUAGCGGUGAAAUGCGCAGAUAUCAGGAGGAACACCGGUGGCGAAGGCGGGUCUCUGGGCCGUAACUGACGCUGAGGAGCGAAAGCAUGGGGAGCGAACAGG
rnacentral:rRNA from 1 species